rnacentral:tRNA from 1 species
UGGGGUAUAGUUCAGUGGUAGAGCCCUUGCUUUGCAUGCACGAGGUCUUGGGUUCAAUCCCCAGUACCUCCA